GACCAACUAAGUUUGUUAUUGGUAUGAGCUUUCGUGUGCAUGAAGAAGUGCACAUGCACACGAAAACUCAUUCCAAUAACAAACUUAGUUGGUC